GGGCCAGGGGGUCUGGUUUUAUAGUCCCUUCAAGUGAAUAUGGGCCGUUGGAUCAAACCGACAUUGAUUGAACGGAUAUCCUUUAGGUCGGUGGAGAUCUCCUGAGAAACAGAGUCCUGAUUGGGCUCCAACAGAGGGCGGGCGCCUAGUGCAGGAGGGCGGGCGCCCUGCCUCUGGCCCCUUUCGGUCUCCGCUUGCUUCCCGUGGCUUCUGGAGUCUUGUCGAUGUAGGAUAAUUGCGCGGUACGUUAAUAUCUCUAUGUAAUCCCGACGUGUGGGCCUUUCUUCCGUAUUUCCUGAUAACCCCCUGU
rnacentral:lncRNA from 1 species